CCUGUUCAGAGCCAUGACUGCCCUGGUGUCGCAUCUCAACCGAUUUCAUCCAUGAUUUCUACGCUAAUGGCAACUAUGACCGAUUAGUACGACUGCCCCCAUCUCAACAGAUAUAAUCCGUGAGUUCUACGGCAACUACGACCGAUUCACCAAGUACGACUGCCCCCAUCUCUACAGAUUUAAUCCGUGAGUUCUACGACAGAUUCGCUAAGUACGACUGCCCCCAUCUCUACAGAUUGAAUCCGUGAGUUCUACGGCAACUACGACCGAUUCGCCAAGUACGUGUCUGCACCUGGGGAUCAGGACAAGAUGCGACCCAAGUGUCACAUCGAGUACCUUCUGGACCUUGAAGGCCAAUUGGACAGGACAAUAGUAGCAGAAAUAGGCUAGUAAGUGAAAAAGUGCUCCUCGGCCUUGACGGUGACCUUUAAUAGCCUUUUUUGUAGCAGUGUGUUAAUAUUUAAUAAUCACUUCUUCUUCUUUUUUUUUUUUUUUUUGAAUAAAUGAAAGACGACCUGUUCAAAUAACGAGAGCAGGCUGGAAUUUGAGACUUUCAUUAUUUAGGACAUCUGAACUUUCACAUACAAAAGGAGAGAAAGUGUUCGCCAAGUCCUCUCGCUGCUGAUUAAAAAUGGAUUCUGGCACCUCGUCGUCAGGGCGGCAGGUUGAUUUUCCUUCACUGAUAGUGAGCCCCCCA